CAAGUUAUAACAAUGAGCCAUUCAGAAGGUAGAGAGAUUGGAGACAACGGCCACUAGAUGUCUAGAUUUCCUAUGGGUGUUGUGAAGUUCGUACCGAGCCUUGUCAUUUUCCCAUUAACAUAUCAGAAGUUAAUGAUGAAUCAUGAGAAAUCUUCUUUUCAAACUAAUGGGACACAUAUAAUUGAAAAUGGAGACAUCAAUACUCAAUUGAAUCAAUGAUUUACCAGAUUAUGGCACCAUUUCAAGGCGUAAGAGAAAGCUUGUAGGAUGCCUCUAUUGCAUCACGCUAGGGAGAUGGAAGCCGAAUAGAUAACAGAUCUCCGAGUUACAAAUCGCUACUUUCGAGGACGCUGUGUGCCAAUUUAUUGCAAAUAUGACAACGAGGUACAUUAUUGUCUACAACUCCAUCGUGGACCAUGUCUUUAAAGUGCCACCACAAGCGGCAAAAUAUCCAAACCCUCUAGUUAUGUCUCGAUCCAUUAGAGCAAGUUCACCCGUAGUCAAGAAAAGACAAAGUCGAGAAGUCAAGAAUUCGACCAGUCAAGUUACAAUUCACUAUCACUGGACAUGGGUUUCCACCCAUUUUUUUCUUGACCGGUCAAAACUGUUCAUCGAUUUUAACUGUUCAUACAGCUUAAAGGACCGUUGGAAUCAAAUUUCUCCUCAUACAACUGCUGCUGGACACGUGGCGCAGUACCAUUCGUCCCUGUCUAGCACUACAGGACAAAAUCGUGACCCCCACGUGGAAAGGCGGCUCCUGCUUCUUCCGUGCAGUCCACUCUCUUCUCCAGCGCAUCUGGUAAGAUGGAGUCAGUGGCUGACGUCAGUCACGUGGGGGGCGGGCUGUGCUGGAGCGUUUGCUUGACUGGUCAGGAGUUUAGUCAGGGCCUUGCCCUUUUGUUUCGCCUUGGUCAUGCAAAGCAAAGUUUUGGCUGGUGAAGAAUCCAUUGGUGGAAGAUGAAAAUUCCUUCAGCUGGGCAACACAUCAUCAAUUCUGAGCUGGUGCCCUGUCAAGUAGAGACCGGUGGACUUGCUCUUAAUGUGGAAAAAAAUAUCUUCAUUUGGAUCAGCGAUUUACCAAAUUUUAGUAUUGUUACUUCUCAAUAAAACUUAAUAGUAUAUUUCAAGUUAGCUGAUGUAAUUCUGCUCUAACACUAUGCAUGUAGAGAUGAAGCACACAAAUUGG